AAAAUGCGAUACGCAAUGCGAAUUGCAGAAUUCCGCGAAUCAUCAGAUCCUUGAACGCAACUGGCGCUGGAGGGCUAUCCUUCCAGCAUGCCUGUUUCAGUGUCUGAAAACAUCCUCAACAUAUCAUAAUGUGUUUGACGAGUCCUCCUCGGAGCGAUGAGUCUUACAUUAAAGAUGUAUGCGUGGGUCUUCGGGUCCCAUCGAAUUGGUCACUGACACCUCAGUGAUUUCGAUUGUGGAUACUUACAAACCGAAGUCAUCCCGUUUGCGCAUAGAAGUCACACACAACAACUUCAACAUCUGCAUCUGAAAUCAGGCAAGAACACCCGCUGAACUUAA
rnacentral:misc_RNA from 1 species